GGGAACGUGUCUUCUUCGGUCCUUUGUCUCUCAGCAAAGGCGGUCAAAGAAGUGGGACAAUUGUGACUGUGGUUUCUACUCCGGUGUGUGCAGUGCCUAGCGCAGUGGUGUCCCAUUCUGGAUGGGGUCUUAGGCACUACCCUUUAUAAGCCUUCUUCCUGCAUCACUUGGUGCUAGUCGAACAGGCAGGACUGGAACAACAGAGGGCACGUGUAAAAGGACUGAAAAGCAUGGGCAGCACUGUGUGGUGGGCCCGGAUUAGGACAGCAGGGAGCAAACAGUGCAACGCCCAUUGCCGAAAGGGAGCGCAGCAGCAGCUCCGGGGACAGCUGCUACCUGUGUGAGCAACUUGUCAGUACUUCCAAGUCUAUGGGGCUGAAUCAGAAGCUGCUUUGCAAAAUGCAGGAGAAAUCCCCUGUCUUCUUUCUGAUCGUGGCUGGGCUGCUGGGUCUGUCUGAAAUGAGCCUCAUUCCAGUGAAAUGGUAGGCCAGAGAUUUCUCAGAGAAACCCGACUGAGCACAGAGAGCAGCCCAGGGACCAGUGCAGUGUUUUCCAUCACGGAAGACAACACAGCCAAGGUGAUGUAUAAAUUGCAAAGUGUCACAACUGACCCUACAAACAACAAAUUACCCCACUCACCUGAGGCUACAGCCAACUUCAGUGCACUGCACGCAGUGACAGCCUUUGCAAAGAAUACAGACAAGCUACCUAGAGAAUCAAGCAGAAACUCAGAUGUGUCUGAACAACUGCAGACAGAAGAAGAAGUUUUAAAUCUCCAGGACCAUGGCACUGUUACUUUGAGUAGCAUGAGCAUUCCCAUCUCAAGGGGGAAAAUGGACUCUUCCACUCUUACGAAAGAUCCAAAGGAGUUACCGCCAGGAAAAGCAGAAAGGGAAACUGCUACCAGAAUUGACCUGUCCAGUCCCACUUGCAGUGAGAUGGCACUCAUAGAACCACAUGCAUUUCAGCCCCUCACUGUUGAGAUUGCAAGCUCUAGGCUGCCUGGUGGCAUCAUGUGGACUGCGACUCCAAAUUCCAGAAUCUCUCUCGUGACUUCAAUUAUAAAUUCUCACAAGCUGGACGAAAACCAGAAAGAAACACCAGCAUCUUCAUUUCCGCUCAAAAUCAUGCAGGCUCUCAAGGACAGCGACAGAUCCAU